UUUUGGCCAGGCUGGUCUCGAACUCCUGACCUCAAGUGAACUGCCCGCCUUGGCCUCGCAAAGUGCUGGGAUCGUCAGAGGCAAGUGAACCAGAGCACCUUCAUCUUAAACAGGAGCUGGUGGACUCACCCUGAAUUCUUUCUUGCACGAGAUCCAAGAAUUCUCCCUUGGGAUCUGGACUGGACCCCUUUCCUGUAACAGAAUUACAGUUUUUGAGAUGGAGUUUCACUCUUCUUGCCCAGGCUGGAG
rnacentral:lncRNA from 1 species